UAAAAAGCAUUUUAAAAGGAAGGCAAGUGUCAGAGCAUAACAUGGACAAAGAACUGAUCACCACAGGAAAGCUGAAAGAAAUGUGAAGAAGACAUUAUAAUCCACGAGAAAUAUUUAAGACAAGGCCACAGUCCCUGCCAUAGUCCUAAAGGAAUGAAUGCCAUCAUUUCCAUGGGUUGAGAAAAGACAGAAGCCACCAAGAUGUCCGAGACAUCUGUGUCACCCACGAUGCUUUGUUGCUAAUUCUCUUCGUGUCUUCUGCCCACACUUUGUUUUGGUUGUCAAAGUUCGUUACUGAGACAAGACUAAGAUCACCCUGCUUUGACAGUCGAAGAUUGACUCAGCGUGACACACCAUGAGGUUCCUUCCUACAGUUAUGGUUCUGUGAUGGCUACAGAAAACAUGGGAAUAGUCUAUUCAAAAGAAAGAUAAGCAAACAAAUGAAAACACAAAAACAAAAAAAACUCUUCCCCAUACCAUCUUAUGUGUGAUCACUCUCCCAGUCUGAGCUUCGAAGAGAAUACAGAAUGACCACACAGCACAUGUUCCUCCUCCAUUCUGUCUGGACCCAACUCAUACUUAUUUACUGAUGGUUCCACGCUGGCAAGGUCGUCUGACAUCCUUCAGCAGGAAGUGUGGUGGUCUGGGCUCUUGAACACAUUAAUCAUAAUCAAACUUCAGAGAGCCAGAGGGGUGGAGGGACACUGAGUCCCUCUUGAUAAUGAAAAAUUCAUUCGAGUUGGGGGCGUCUUUACGAGAAGAAAAUGAGCUUCAGAAACUUGACUGCACACUAACGACUCUA